GACGAACGCUGGCGGCGUGCCUAAUACAUGCAAGUCGAACGAACGGAUAAAGAGCUUGCUCUUUUGAAGUUAGUGGCGGACGGGUGAGUAACACGUGGGUAACCUGCCUCACAGCUGGGGAUAACAUCGAGAAAUCGAUGCUAAUACCGAAUGUGCUGAACAUCAUAAGAUGUUCAAGUGAAAGACGGUUUCGGCUGUCACUGUGAGAUGGACCCGCGCUGGAUUAGCUAGUUGGUAAGGUAAUGGCUUACCAAGGCGACGAUCCAUAGCCGACCUGAGAGGGUGAUCGGCCACAUUGGGACUGAGACACGGCCCAAACUCCUACGGGAGGCAGCAGUAGGGAAUCUUCGGCAAAGGACGAAAGUCUGACCGAGCAACGCCGCGUGAGCGAAGAAGGCCUUCGGGUCGUAAAGCUCUGUUGUUAGAGAAGAACAUGGGUGAGAGUAACUGUUCACCCCUUGACGGUAUCUAACCAGAAAGCCACGGCUAACUACGUG
rnacentral:rRNA from 1 species